GAUGAACGCUAGCGGCAGGCUUAACACAUGCAAGUCGAGGGGCAGCACGAUGUAGCAAUACAUUGGUGGCGACCGGCGCACGGGUGCGUAACACGUAUGGAACUUGCCCUUUACUGGAGGAUAGCCCGGAGAAAUCCGGAUUAAUACUCCAUAACAGUCGAGGUGGCAUCACCUUGGCUUGAAAGCUCCGGCGGUAAAGGAUGGCCAUGCGCACGAUUAGCUAGUUGGUGAGGUAACGGCUCACCAAGGCUACGAUCGUUAGGGGGCCUGAGAGGGUUAUCCCCCACACU
rnacentral:rRNA from 1 species